UGUAUGUAGCGCACUGAUCUGGGUAUGAAUUCGAAGCCUCUCGAAGGAUAAUUUAGGCUCUCUAUACCCUACUCCGACUCAAUACGUCCACGUCAUACAGAAUGGUAACAUAUCUCUCCAAAUAUCUGAGCUUGGGUAUACGGGGAAACCCAACCACAUGGGAAGAUAGGGUAUAUGGCUAAUUUGGUCGAA
rnacentral:ribozyme from 1 species